rfam:Myotis brandtii contig190283, whole genome shotgun sequence.
AGGCCCAGAGAGAGAAGCAGGGUCUGAUCUGCAGCCUUUGUGGCAGCUGCUGAUCAGCCCUUGCCUCUCUCUCCAGGCCUU